UUCUUUUAAUGCUUCCAAAACUCUACCAUCAAUUGUAACGCAUGAUUUAACUCUUCAAAUUUUUUGUACCAUAUAUUUAUUGUUCAGAUCUACUCUUCAUCUCGACAUAAAUCUCUGCAAAAUUACCUCUUACUCAAAGUUCCAAUAGAUAGACAGCAGCCGCUAGGGCUAGAAAUCAUUUGAUUUGAUCAUUUGAAUCUGACAAGAAACAACUUUCAACAGGAGCAAAUCAAAACUUACAUAGUGAAAACAGAUUGGCUUUCACAGUAAGCAUGUGGAUUUCAGACAUGUGGUAGAAUUUUAGCUGUGGGAAAUUCAAUCGAAAAGAUCAGAUAUCUAGAAAGUCCCCAAAGGCAGCUGUUGUCGCAGAUUGUGAACUCAUCUCUUAUAAAAGCAUACUUCCAACACAGUCCAUGUCCUUUUGUACCUUUGGUAUCCUCCACCAUAAUUAUUUGGUGAUUGCGUAUGUUUUUGGCUUUUUGAUUCAAGAAGGAACAGAGACAAUGCUUCUCCAAGGUUCCAUCUUUGUUCAUCGCCUUAACACUUUUAAACACAUAUGCUGAAAGAGGGAGCUGUUUACAAGCUCAGUAGGUUUGAUGUUACCUGAUGAAGGUAACUGAACUGAUACCAUUUUAUCUUUGCAUAAUCAGUGAAUAAAACUGGUGUCUCAGACACUACUCUUAUUGACUUUCAAGAGGUAAGAAACUAUCUUUUACAUUGCUUCUUCCAUGUUCUUACUUACCCUCAAAAUGAUUUUAGGGAAACUCUAUCCUCUAGCUUCAUCAAGACCGUUUGAAUCUACUGCUUGCUUUAGCCAAAGAAUAUGAUGUUAACAGAGAGCAAGUCUAGAAACUCAUUAGGCAAUAUCUUGGGGUUGAGGAUGCACCCAAUAAAUCUUUUGUUUUUGUAUUUUGAUUGAUAUUCUUCAAUAGAUUUCUCUCGAUGAACGAGCGUUCUUUAGGUGACGAUGGAGAGGCUCAUUCUACAUAAUGAGGCUUUAUCUGAAGCCUACAUAUGAAACUCUCUUUGAGAUGUUAAAAUACUCAUCCUGGAGGGUUGCAUUUUUUUGUCCAUCCUAUGUGUUCACCUUCAUUAGUCAUACUACAGAUGUGGCUUAGUCCUGCUUCUUUAAAGCUUGAUCAAAUCACUUGGGAUGAUCAUGAUUGCUUGCUUGAGAAAACUGUUGCUAAUGAGAUAUGUGAAAGUAUUUUCUAUUACAAUAAUAUCCAAAACAACUUCGGUUUUUUAUCUAACAUUCUCUUAUUUAUAAAGCGGUGCAACAAAUCAGCAACAUCUUCGAUCUUAAAAAAGAUUUGGAAUAGGGCCUCUAUGCUUUGGUUAUUAUCAUCCAUCUAUUCAUGGGCGGGGACAACAACCUAGGUGACGAUACGCCAGGAGCCUCAUGUGUGUCCUGCAUCUGCUCAAAAAACCACAAGCUUUCUGCAACUGAUCAGGCCACCGGCAGUGGUGGCUUCCACUUACUGAAACAACAGGAACUGAGGAAAACACAGUCGGGAGCUCAGCAAAGGAGCCACAUGUUUCAACAACAGAGAGGGAGCUUAAGAAGGAACCCAAAGCAUAGAUGCUGAAGAUAGCCAAGUGAAGACUCUUCCACUUUCUCGCAAGCUUUUUUUUCAUUUAGUGUUUUUAAAGAAAAUAUCUAUGGUUCUACUUUCACAUUUCCUAUAUUCUAAAUCAAUAAAAGAAUAUUUCAUCUUAA